GUGGGAGGCGGGGUAGUACAGAAACAUUCAGAGCACAGCAGAUGUAAUGUAUCUAAAAUUCUCAGUCACUGCUGGAGGACAUGUAAACUGGUUAACCACUUUGGAAAACUCAUUAUCUACUCAAGUUGAAAGAAUGUAACCCACAUACAUAGUAACAAAAGCUGUUACCAUCUGAUCAAUCUGGUUACAUCACCAACUUCCCAGCUACUCUGAGUCUUGCAGAAUUAAUGAAACACUUUGAGUUAACUUUUUAGAACUCCUUUAUUGAGAAAAGGCUGUAUUGACUUCCGUUUACAAUGUCAGGAAUGCUUCGGUGAAAAGCAGGAUGAGAGGGGUCCAAUACAGAGGGUCCUCAGACUGCUACACGCUGGCUCACUCAGGGGCACCUGGGUGGCUCAGUCGGUUGAGUGUCUGACUUCGGCUCAGGUCACGAACUCCUAGUUCAUGGGCUCAGGCCUCACGUGCUGACAACUCAGGACUGGAGCCUGCUUCAGAUUCUGUCUCCCUUUCUCUCUACCCCUCCCCCGCUCAGGCUCUGUCUCUCUCUGUGUCUCAAAAAUAAAUAAAUGUUGAAA